rnacentral:rRNA from 1 species
AGGUUCGAUUCUGGCUCAGGAUGAACGCUAGCUACAGGCUUAACACAUGCAAGUCGAGGGGCAGCAUUGGAGUAGCAAUACUCAGAUGGCGACCGGCGCACGGGUGAGUAACACGUAUCCAACCUGCCGCUUACUCGGGGAUAGCCUUUCGAAAGAAAGAUUAAUACCCGAUGGUAUAAAGAGUUCGCAUGUUCUCUUUAUUAAAGAAUUUCGGUAAGCGAUGGGGAUGCGUUCCAUUAGAUAGUUGGCGGGGUAACGGCCCACCAAGUCUACGAUGGAUAGGGGUUCUGAGAGGAAGGUCCCCCACAUUGGAACUGAGACACGGUCCAAACUCCUACGGGAGGCAGCAGUGAGGAAUAUUGGUCAAUGGACGAGAGUCUGAACCAGCCAAAAGUAGCGUGAAGGAUGACUGCCCUAUGGGUUGUAAACUUCUUUUAUAAGGGAAUAAAGUGAGGGACGUGUCCCUUUUCGUAUCCGUACCUUAUGAACUAAGGAUCGGCUACUCGUGCCAGCCGCCGC